rnacentral:rRNA from 1 species
UACGUAGGGUGCGAGCGUUGUCCGGAAUUACUGGGCGUAAAGAGCUCGUAGGUGGUUUGUCGCGUUGUUCGUGAAAACUCACAACUCAAUUGUGGGCGUGCGGGCGAUACGGGCAGACUGGAGUACUGCAGGGGAGACUGGAAUUCCUGGUGUAGCGGUGGAAUGCGCAGAUAUCAGGAGGAACACCGGUGGCGAAGGCGGGUCUCUGGGCCUGUACUGACGCUCAGGCGCGAAAGCUAGGGGAGCAAACAGG